rnacentral:rRNA from 1 species
AGCGAACGCUGGCGGCAGGCCUAACACAUGCAAGUCGAACGAACUCUUCGGAGUUAGUGGCGGACGGGUGAGUAACACGUGGGAACGUGCCUUUUGGUUCGGAAUAACUCAGGGAAACUUGUGCUAAUACCGAAUGUGCCCUUCGGGGGAAAGAUUUAUCGCCAUUAGAGCGGCCCGCGUCUGAUUAGCUAGUUGGUGAGGUAACGGCUCACCAAGGCGACGAUCAGUAGCUGGUCUGAGAGGAUGACCAGCCACACUGGGACUGAGACACGGCCCAGACUCCUACGGGAGGCAGCAGUGGGGAAUCUUGCGCAAUGGGCGAAAGCCUGACGCAGCCAUGCCGCGUGAAUGAUGAAGGUCUUAGGAUUGUAAAAUUCUUUCACCGGGGACGAUAAUGACGGUACCCGGAGGAGAAGCCCCGGCUAUCUUCGUG